rnacentral:rRNA from 1 species
CCUACGGGAGGCAGCAGUGAGGAAUAUUGGACAAUGGACGGAAGUCUGAACCAGCCAUGCCGCGUGCAGGAAGACGGCUCUAUGAGUUGUAAACUGCUUUUGUACAAGGGUAAAUCUGAAUACGUGUAUUCAGCUGAAAGUACUGUACGAAUAAGGAUCGGCUAACUCCGUGCCAGCAGCCGCGGUAAUACGGAGGAUCCAAGCGUUAUCCGGAUUUGUUGGGUUUAAAGGGUGCGUAGGCGGAUUGAUAAGUUAGAGGUGAAAUGUCCGAGCUUAACUCGGGAACUGCCUCUAAUACUGUUAGUCUAGAGAGUAGAUGCGGGAGGCGGAAUGUAUGGUGUAGCGGUGAAAUGCUUAGAGAUCGUACAGAACACCGGUGGCGAAGGCAGCUUAC